rnacentral:rRNA from 1 species
AUUGAACGCUGGCGGCAGGCCUAACACAUGCAAGUCGAACGAGUGGCGGACGGGUGAGUAAUGUCUGGGGAACUGCCCGAUGGAGGGGGAUAACUACUGGAAACGGUGGCUAAUACCGCAUACCAUCGGAUGUGCCCAGAUGGGAUUAGCUAGUAGGUGGGGUAAAGGCUCACCUAGGCGACGAUCUCUAGCUGGUCUGAGAGGAUGAUCAGCCACACUGGAACUGAGACACGGCCCAGACUCCUACGGGAGGCAGCAGUGGGGAAUAUUGCACAAUGGGCGCAAGCCUGAUGCAGCCAUGCCGCGUGUAUGAAGAAGGCCUUAGGGUUGUAAAGUACUUUCAGCGGGGAGGCGUUACCCGCAGAAGAAGCACCGGCUAACUCCGUGCCAGCAGCCGCGGUAAUUC